rnacentral:rRNA from 1 species
GACGAACGCUGGCGGCGUGCUUAACACAUGCAAGUCGAACGCUGAAGCUCAGCUUUUGUUGGGUGGAUGAGUGGCGAACGGGUGAGUAACUCGUGAGUAACCUGCCUCCUUCUUUGGGAUAACGCCCGGAAACGGGUGCUAAUACUGGAUAUUCACUGGUCUUCGCAUGGGGGUUGGUGGAAAGGGUUUUUCUGGUGGGGGAUGGGCUCGCGGCCUAUCAGCUUGUUGGUGGGGUGAUGGCCUACCAAGGCUUUGACGGGUAGCCGGCCUGAGAGGGUGACCGGUCACAUUGGGACUGAGAUACGGCCCAGACUCCUACGGGAGGCAGCAGUGGGGAAUAUUGCACAAUGGGCGCAAGCCUGAUGCAGCGACGCCGCGUGAGGGAUGGAGGCCUUCGGGUUGUGAACCUCUUUCGCUCAUGGUCAAGCCGCAACAAUGGUUGUGGUGAGGGUAGUGGGGAAAGAAGCGCCGGCUAACUACGU